rnacentral:lncRNA from 1 species
UCGGGAUCCAAAAUAGUCAAAACAACAGCUAUAACCAGCCCUCUACCACACCUACUCAAAAGAAAGUGGAGAGAUUUGGUGAGAAGGAUGGAUUAGAGUUUGACAAGAAAGAGAUUGAAAUCCAUACCAAUCAAUAGAAACAAAAAAUAGAGUAAAAAAAGGGGGAUAAAAAAAUGAAACAUUGAAACACGUCUUUCCUUAGUCAUGGGUACUCCCCACACCCCAAUUUUCAAAGAUUUUACAUCUUCACAAUCAAGCAAGUAUUUAAUCAUACCAUUG